rnacentral:tRNA from 1 species
GCCCGCAUAGUAUAUUGUACAGCAGCUUUUCAGGCUGAAGGACCGCUAAAGUGCGGUGAGGGUA